GCAUCCAUAGCUCAGUGGUAGAGCAUCUGCUCAGCAUGCAAAAAGUCCCGGGUUCAAUCCUCGGCAUCUCCA
rnacentral:tRNA from 1 species